UGCAAGAAGAAAAGAGAGCCCGAGCCCAAACAAGUAUUUUCUGAGAAGGAAAAGAGCUGGGCUAAGUCAUUUUUGAACACACCGUCCCAGGCCGCGAAGAAUCUGCCUGACGACUAUGAACGUGAACUUCGUAGUCAAGCACUCGCGGUCGGGGGGAAACAAGUUGCCCAGCUCGGGGAACAAAGUAAACAGUCGAUCGCCCCGCUCAUAGUGAAAGCCGCAGGUCCGGAGGACGAUGCCCCUGAUGUCAUAGCAGCUGCGGCAGCACAGGGAUUGACUGUAGCGAGAGCCAAAGAACAAGCGGCAGACUUAGGUCUGACUCUUCGUGCAACGUUAGGCCUUGAUGACGUGGCAAUGAAGGACGUAGUAUUUACAUAUGUGAAGAAUGGUCCUCUCGUCGAGCCUGCGUAGGAAGAGGAUCUACCUCGACAAAUGAAAGGUCUGCUAAAUUGGUACAAGGCUUACAUACAACUUAAAAAUGCCAAAGACUAUAUUUAUGCGGAAGUUAGACCUGAGCAUCACUUCAAACAUUACUAUAUAACAAUUCAUCGGAGUGAAUUGUUCCAGCUAUUCAAUCUGCGCGAGCUCGACAAAUCUAUCAUCAGUUGCUAUGUUCUGUAAGUGAUUUAUUAAUUUCUACCCCAUCUCGUUCAUUGCCUGCACUAUAAAUAUAUAUAUUGUCCUAACUAUCUUGUUGUGUACGCUAUUAUGCAGAUUAAAGAAGCGGCAAAUGCGAAUAAGGCGCGUCCAUGAUGUUGGGUUCAUUGACCCACAAAUCGUUAAUUCAUAUGUGUUAGAACACCACCCCAAAGACGUGGAGGAUGACCUGUGGCGGUUUCUUAUAAAACAGGAACUCAAAAGUGAUAUUCUAUUUCCUUACCAUUUUGGGUUCCACUGGAUUCUGCUAGUAAUUCAAAUUUAGAACUCCACAGUUCUCGUCCACGACUCUCUGAAUAUGGAUACGAAGCUUUGGGCCGACAUGAGAAAAAUGAUGCAAAAGGUUUGGAGACGGUUCGUAGAUCAAAAGGUCGGUGAAUUCAAAAAAGAGCUACAUUUUAAAAGGGCAAAGGCUGCGACCGGGGAUAUUCAGCCACCGGGGACCAAUCUAUGUGGAUACUAUGUUUGUGAGAGGAUCCGGAGAUACACCACUGAGCGGCAGCCGUCUGAGAACAACAUCAGGAGGAAUAACCUCCC